UACAGAGGUCUCAAGCGUUGUUCGGAUUCAUUGGGCGUAAAGGGUGCGUAGGUGGCGCUGUAAGUCGGGUGUGAAAUUUCGGAGCUUAACUCCGAAACUGCAUUCGGUACUGCGGUGCUUGAGGACUGGAGAGGAGACUGGAAUUCAUGGUGUAGCAGUGAAAUGCGUAGAGAUCAUGAGGAAGACCAGUGGCGAAGGCGGGUCUCUGGACAGUUCCUG
rnacentral:rRNA from 1 species